AUUGAACGCUGGCGGCAGGCUUAACACAUGCAAGUCGAGCGAGCGGCGGACGGGUGAGUAAUGUCUGGGAAACUGCCUGAUGGAGGGGGAUAACUACUGGAAACGGUAGCUAAUACCGCAUACCAUCAGAUGUGCCCCGAUGGGAUUAGCCAGUAGGUGGGGUAAUGGCUCACCUAGGCGACGAUCCCUAGCUGGUCGGAGAGGAUGACAAGACACACUGGAAAUGAGACACGGUCCAGAGUCCUAGGGGAGGGAGCAGUGGGGAAGAUUGCACAAUGGGCGCAAGCCUGAUGCAGCCAUGCCGCGUGGGUGAAGAAGGCCUGCGGGUUGUAAAGCAAGGGCAGCGAGGAGGCGUUACUCGCAGAAGAAGCACCGGCUAACUCCGUGCCAGCAGCCGCGGUAAGUC
rnacentral:rRNA from 1 species